rnacentral:rRNA from 1 species
CAACCAACCCAUAACAGGGGGAUAACCCGGAGAAAUCCGGACUAAUACCGCAUAAGACCACGAUAUCGCAUGAUAUAGAGGUCAAAUAUUUAUAGGUUAUGGACGGGCAUGCGUCUGAUUAGCUGGUGGCGGGUAACGCCACCAAGGCAUCGAUCAGUAGGGGUUCUGAGAGGAAGGUCCCCCACAUUGGAACUGAGACACGGUCCAAACUCCUACGGGAGGCAGCAGUGAGGAAUAUUGGUCAAUGGGCGAAAAGCCUGAACCAGCCAUGUCGCGUGAAAAGGAUGAAGGUCCUAUGGAUUGUAAACUUCUUUUGCAGGAGGGUAAAGUGAGCUACGUGUAGUUCAUUGCAAGUACCCUGCGAAUAAGCAUCGGCUAACUCCGUGCCAGCCGCCGC